rnacentral:lncRNA from 1 species
ACUCCCUUUCCCUCCUCACUACCCUGCUUUCAUCAGAGAAGUGCAGGUUGAAGAAAGAUCUGCAGAUGUAUUAGACAACGUUAUUCCUUCUAGAUGGAAUGUGGACAACUCUUUUGUUAGUAGAAGCAACAAGUAACAAACAUUGCAACCCAAGAUCAAGUAACUCUUCGAACAGGCUGCUGUGUUCACUUGAAAGUGAUUCCAAACAAGUAUUCCACUAUUCAGUAUAAAGACCUCUUUAUUAGCUAGUUUAUAUAGUACUCCCUCCAUCCACCAAUUUAAGGGACACGAUUUAAUUGGACUUGGAGACCAGAAAUAAUUUUGACUCGCAUAUUAUCAUCAAAAUAAUAGAAGGCAAGCAUUAAGGUGGCUCGUGAAAAAUGUCAGCAUUAUCCUCUGUUUCUUUCGCUCGCAUAUUACUAUUGGCCUGAAAUGAGCAUAAAUGGAGCGACAUGGACAGUGUGGAUUCACAUUCUCAUAUAGCAUCUCCAAGUUGCUUGGGAUUGAGGCAUAGUUGUUGUACUUGCAUAUUAGUAUAACGAUAAUAGUAAAUAGCAUUAAAGAAGCUGCUGAAAAAUGAUAGUACCCUUCUUAAAACUAACCAUGUCAUCAAAUUGUUGCAAUUUGCAAGUGCAAGAGACUCUAGUUUAUAUCAACAACCAAACAACAAUAUUUUGUGUCAAAGAUGCACUACAAUAUAUCUUGCAAAUCAGGACAAUGUCCAAAUAAUAUGGGUACAUUUGCAACUAAACCAAAAUUCCUUUAAUUCAUAUGGCAUGUAAUAAGACAAUUCCACAACCACAACAUAGACUAACAUAACCAGAGGCGGGAUUCAGGAUCCACAUUAAACAUGAUGGCUUCAACCUUUAUGUUCUCAUCAUCAAACCCAUUGCAAAACAUUAUGGAUUCAAAAUGAAAUAUUUAUUCAAAUUUUAGUAUUUUUCACAGAUACCCAAGCUCAGUGUAAAAAAUGCUGGGUUUAGUUGAACCCAUGCAUUAUUAUUUACAUCCACCACUGAACAUAUCAAACAGAUUGGCUUCAAAAUACACUGCACCAUAAGCACUACAACCACAACCUCAAAUAUCAAACAAUUACAUCUAACCUUAACUAGAAUUACAUUAAGGACAUAAAAGAGGAGCCUCUUGACCAAUGAGAUACUAUCCGUUUUGGUGUCAAAUGGAUGAACGCACUAGCUAUGGCCCUCGUGGUUGCUAAUUUUGGAGAUAUACUGCAGUACCCUCCUCAAACUACUAGUCUCCCUCUCCCAGCAUUAUAAAGCCAUUUCAAAAUUACACUUACCAAUCUACUA